rnacentral:lncRNA from 1 species
GACUCUACUGGGCAUAUAGGAAGGGCGCACUCACUGAACUUCCUCCGUUCCGUCUAUUCUCAGGGCCCGCCCGGCAGGACCACUGAGCAAGGCCUUGGAAAACCAGAGAGAUUAGAGCGCAGAAUGGGGAAAUGGAGAGAGAACCUGAAAGAGCCCCAAACUCGAGGGACCUAUUGCUUCCCAAGAAUAACAUCUUCCAGAAGAACCAGACAGAAAACUAGGCGUCUGGAA